UUGCUUCUUGCUGUAGAGGCUGCUGCCACCGGCUGGCUAGGUCGCUCUGUUUGCAGAGCCCCAGACCAACCCAAGGAGCGGACACCUCCAAUGCAAAAGCAAAGAUCUUAUUACCACUAAUCAGACAAUUUACAAAAGACUGAGCUGGACAAUGGAAGGACAAAGAUUACACCUUCAGUUUGGAUGCAGCUGUCAGGAUCAUAGUCGCCAGAUGAAAUGGAAGACUCAUGCCUGGAUGGUGGCAAGGCCUUUGCAAUUCUGAGUCCUUAAUUGAUUAUGUAGAACUUGCUCCUCAAUCUUACUCCAACAGGCAUCUUUUGGGGUUUAUUGCAAGAAAAAGAAAUAUAUUUCUUAUGCAUUAACCAUUGAA